rnacentral:rRNA from 1 species
UACGUAGGGGGCAAGCGUUGUCCGGAUUCAUUGGGCGUAAAGAGCGUGUAGGCGGCUUGGUAGGUCUCGCGUCAAAACCUGAGGCUCAACCUCAGUUCGCGUGGGAAACCACCUAGCUAGAGUCCGGAAGAGGAGAACGGAAUUCCCAGUGUAGCGGUGAAAUGCGCAGAUAUUGGGAAGAACACCAGUGGCGAAGGCGGUUCUCUGGGACGGUACUGACGCUGAGGUGCGAAAGCGUGGGGAGCAAACAGG